rnacentral:tRNA from 1 species
GGUUUGGUAGCUCAAUUGGAUAGAGCAACUGCCUUCUAAGCAGUCGGUUACGAGUUCGAGUCUCGUCCAAAUCA